CAUCUUCGGCUGCUUCCUUCAUGACUGCAUACAAGUACUACAAAGAAACCAAAAACAAAGGGUCACAUAUACUUACCCUCUAUUUACGUGACAUACUACCAGGGCUGAGAGAGCUGAGGAAACACAGGAAAUGCAAGGUUGGUCCACAAAGGAAUCCUGGUGACAUGCCCCAGCAUGCAAAAGAAUGGCAAUAUAAAUGCUAAUGACUAGGGCUGGAGUAAUCACUCUAGUGAUGUGGGAAAGGUAAGCUGGCUUUUAUUUAAAGGGUGUUUAUACUGUCAUAUUCCCUAAUCACACUUAAAAUUUAGCUAGGUCCUUGAGAGUAAGAUACCAGUUGUUCAGAAGUUAAAAAAAAAAAAAGAGUCAAUUUCAUCUUAAUUUUCCAAUCAUCUGUUUCUUUGAUGGAGGCAGGAACUGAGGAGCUGCUCUGAUGGCAGGUGGUAUAGAAUAGUGCCAGGGAGACUACAGGCUGUACUCAGAGUGUAUAUUGAACCAGUGCAUUGGAACUGCAAUCUCUCAAUCAGGUCUAGCUUGGGGAUGCAGAAAGGGAACAAACAUCCUGUCCUCUGUCUGAUUAAGAGAGCAGAAGAAUCUACUGGAUGCUCAGACAUUGCAAAAGUAGCCAAGCAAGACAGGAACUUUAACAAGCAGCUGAAUAGCCACUUAUCCAGCCAUAAAGGGAGUAGGGGGAGGAUGUGGGACCUUUAAUUCAAGGCCUGAGUGGCACUGGAUUGGCUCUUAUGCCAGAAGGUGGCUUUUUAACCUCUGUUCAAUAGCAAGACAUUCCCCUCACCUGAUGCUUUCCUGCUUUCUUAUACAAGUCUCCAGGCAGUAGGAGAGGAACUGGAGAGAGUAGCAUGCUGCUGCUAUCUACUGGCAGAGGGAGGCUUGGGGAAGAAGCUAGCUGGCUACUUGUCAGAGACUCUCUCUUUUCAAGCUAUGCUUUGAGGAGAGAAGCCAGUAACUGAUACGGGGCUGGAGAAAAA